AUACGGAGGGUGCAAGCGUUAUCCGGAUUCACUGGGUUUAAAGGGUGCGUAGGCGGGUUGAUAAGUCCGUGGUGAAAGCCCCAAGCUUAACUUGGGAACUGCCGUGGAUACUAUCAGUCUUGAAUAUCGAGGAGGUAAGCGGAAUAUGUCAUGUAGCGGUGAAAUGCUUAGAUAUGACAUGGAACACCAAUUGCGUAGGCAGCUUACUACACGAUUAUUGACGCUGAGGCACGAAAGCGUGGGGAGCAAACAGGAUUAGAUACCCUGGUAGUCCACGCCCUAAACUAUGGAUACUCGACAUACGCGAUACACUGUGUGUGUCUGAGCGAAAGCAUUAAGUAUCCCACCUGGGAAGUACGAUCGCAAGAUUGAA
rnacentral:rRNA from 1 species